CAAGUAGUCCUGUUGCAUUCAAAUUUUAGUUAGAUUUUUUUUCACAUAAUAUUAUAUCAUAAUAUCAUAUGUCAUUGAUCUUGGCUGAAAAUAAACGUACAUUUAAAUGUAUAACUGUAAAGAUUUUUAAAUAUUCGAACAAAAGGAAUUCCUGCGCUGCAUGGCGCAAGGAUACAGUCUCUUCUAAGCACAGUGGAGCGGCAGCACGGCAGGAGUCACUACUUUUUAACAGUUCACAGACGACGAGUCGGAUCGAAAAUAAGCAGGUGGACUGAAGAAGAAUGCAACGACCAAGACUGAACCAGAAAGGCAUAGAAAAGGUCACAGCAGUAGGGCUGUGCGAUUAAGCGAAUCGCGAUCGUUUGGUUAUACGAGCGCACAUCUGGCAAUGUGGACGAGGCUUGACGCACACGCACAACCUGUGUCAACUCAUGCCUGGUCGCAUCUAAAACAAGUGUAAAUUCAGUCUAACUGCUUUGCUAAUUUCACUUGGAUGAAAUUAAACAUUCAGCACAUUUUCCACUCGUUCUAAAAAUCCCAAAUACUUAAAAAUGAAUAAAUCAUCCUAUGUAACCUAUUAAAUACUUGAAUAAUUACCUAAAGUAAUACAGUUCUUUAUUUACACAAAAUAAACUAAUCUUUCCUGUGAAAUUCGGUAAUUAAGUAAAUUCUGUAAAAGUAGUAAUAGCAUUACCAAUAACAAUACCAAUAUUCCCUGCUGAAAAAACCCCCAAAUAGAACCCCUCACAAAUUACAAUAGAAAAUGUAAUGGAUUUAAGUAGUGUCUACUGGUUUUUGAUAGAUUCCAUUGGUGGGAUGUAAUUUGGCAGAUGGGAAACAAUAGAACAACAGUAAUUCCUAUUGGAAUAAUGCCCAAAACACUACAAAAAGGAAUUUUGUAAUUGUUUUAUUGGAAACCAUAAGAAUCUCUAUGAUGCUUUCUAAUGUUUUUUUGUUUUGGUUUUUUCAGCAGGGUAAUGACACUUAUACUGUGCUGCACACUAUUGACAAUAUUAAGCUGAAGCUUGACUUUGCAAAUCAAAUCGCAAUCGCAAUAUCAGUCAAAAAAUAUCGCAAUUAGAUAUUUUCCCCAAAUCGCACAGCCCUACUAAGCAGUCUUCAGGAAUUUGAUCAAUUUUGUGUCCAUCCGUACAAAUUGUUAUGAGUCCAAGUAUUUUAAUGCUGUAUUGUAAGUUAAACAGAGUUUUUGUGUUUUAUGUUGUCAUCUUAAAAGGGUUUCUUAAAAGGGAUCAUCCACCCAAAAUGUAAAAAUCUAUUCUAUCUGUUCUGUUGAUUUAAACCAAGGGUGUCAAACUCUGAUCCUGAGGGCCAAAGCCCAGCAGAGCUUGGCUCCAACCCUAAUUAAAAGUACCUGAUCCAGCUAAUCAAAUCCUUCAGGUUUAUUUGAAAACUAGAUGUUAUGUGUGUUGGAACAGGGUUGGAACUAAAAUCUGCAGGGCUGUGGCCCUCCAGGAUUUUGACACCCCUUCUUUAAACCCAUAAGACCUUCAUUCAUCUCUGAAACACAAAUUAUGUUUUUAAUGAAAUUAAGACAUUUCUGUCACUCCAUUGAAAGUAUAUUCUUGACUUUUUCACACAACUUGAAUUAAAAAGCUCUAUUUAAGUUUUUUUUUUUUUUCAUCUUAUUAUUACUGUUUGGAAGCGUCCGGAGGUUUGGGUGAACAGACUUUCAAUGAAGCAACAGAAAUUUCCCAGGUUUUUGUUCCCAGUGUCGUUUUGUUCCAAAAAUGAAUUAAUUUCUUAUGGGUUUUUAGGGAUGUUCAUUUUAACCGGUUAACCAUUAACCAACCGUUAAGAAUUUUGACCGAUUAAUACAAUCAGUUAAAUGGUCUAAAAAGUCAUUUAUUUAUUUAUUUUCAUUAAUUUAUCAAAAUAUUUAAAAAGGUUUGCUGCAUUGUUAAAAUAGGCUACACUACAUGAUAAAGUUUUUUGUUUUUUAAAGGG
rnacentral:lncRNA from 1 species